AGCAUAUUGUAUGAAAAUAACUUUGACAUAAUUAUGCUUAAUUUCUGUUUCUUUUUGUUUGGGUUUAAAAUGAAGACUACCUGGAUAUGUUGAGUAGUGAUGUUAGUGGAGCACACGUUGGUCCUGUUCCUGAGUCUCAUGGGCCGUUUCUGAGAUUUUAUCACUACACAUCAUGUUGUAUGUUUUUGGCAGAACAGAAGAUUCUAGUUUUAAUGAAGUCCAGCUUGCUGGUGAUUUCUUUCAUGGAUCAUGCCUGAGGCCAGGACUUCAAUUCUUUGAGGUCUCAGUCUUUGUAAUAACUGAAGAACACUAAACUUUUUUGAAGUAUAAAAAAACUUCGUAACAGUUACACUUCAUUAUUCAAGAUAAUAUUUUAUUUCUUGUAAUGUAAAAACUAAAAUCAUUUGAG